AUGUGUAACCUGGUACUUUGCUCCUGAUAGACAAUUUCUUCCUUAGCGUAUUCUUCAACUACAGCAGCUGAGCAAUGCAAGGCAAAUGUAGUGCUUGGCUUGGCUCUUCUGGAGUUCCACCUGCAACAGGGAGAUGAUCAAAGUAUCGAAAGUCUGGCCUGAGCUGGGAAAUUCAGUAAUGGAGACUCAAUGAUUUGUUCAGUAGAAACCAGACUGUAUUCAGGUCUCCUCUGAGAUUAGAUGGCAAUGGACUAGGAAGACUAAAAAAGACUUCCCACAGUAAUGCCUACAAUUGUGCAAUUCAUGGAUUAAACUGCUACUGCUCUGCAAUGAGCUAACAGAGCUACGGAAAGGAGCAGAGUUGGAAAAUGCUGUCCUUUGUAGCAGUUACUAAGGCAAGGCUCUUGUUUGUGUCCUGAACCCACCAUAUUCCAAGUCAAUAAGGUAACAAGCCAAAUCCAGUUGUUCAUCUCUAUACUUGUGUGCAUGUG
rnacentral:lncRNA from 1 species